rnacentral:rRNA from 1 species
AACGAACGCUGGCGGCAUGCCUAACACAUGCAAGUCGAACGAGACCUUCGGGUCUAGUGGCGCACGGGUGCGUAACGCGUGGGAACCUGCCCUUAGGUUCGGAAUAACUCCCCGAAAGGGGUGCUAAUACCGGAUAAUGUCUUCGGACCAAAGAUUUAUCGCCUUUGGAUGGGCCCGCGUUGGAUUAGCUAAUUGGUAGGGUAAAAGCCUACCAAGGCGACGAUCCAUAGCUGGUCUGAGAGGAUGAUCAGCCACACUGGGACUGAGGCACGGCCCAGACUCCUACGGGAGGCAGCAGUGGGGAAUAUUGGACAAUGGGCGAAAGCCUGAUCCAGCAAUGCCGCGUGAGUGAUGAAGGCCUUAGGGUUGUAAAGCUCUUUUACCCGGGAUGAUAAUGACAGUACCGGGAGAAUAAGCUCCGGCUAACUCCGUG